CGCUAACCACGUGCAUUUUAGGAUGACGGAGCGGACGGAACAGAGAGUGUGCAUUAAAUUUUGCCAAAAACUUGGUCAUUCAUGUUCGGAAACCAUCGUUAUGAUUCGGAAAGUGUAUGGCGAUGAGUCCAUGAGUGAUACUCAAAUUAAAGAGUGGUUUAGACGAUUUAAAAGAGGCCGCACUACAGUGGAAAGUGAUCCUCGCUCUGGCAGGCGCGUAACUUCCAAAACACCACAAAAUGUGGAACGAGUGCGAGUGUUAAUUAAUGAAAAUCGCAGUUUAACAGUGAGAGAGAUAGAGGAAAACCUCGGAAUUCCAAAAACCAUUGUAUCGGAAAUUUUGAGCAAAAAUUUGGGGCUCAGCCGCGUAUAAGAAUACCGGUCUGAUAUCGGUUUUAAUUCAAAGUCGUCACUGAAUGAUAAUAUAAUAUACCAAUGUAUAGAAUAUUAUCCUAUUCUCAUUUUUCUUUAUUUAUUUUCUAAUUGAUUCUUCUCAAAACGUUUUACAUAGAAGGUUGUUGAAUCCGAUUGGAAGAAAUAAGGCAUCUUAUGUCAAUGUUAUACUCCGAUUGGUGGGUUCCACAUAUUCCACAAAUUUCACUGCUGCUGGCUACUGGCAUCUGCCAUCUAUCUGCAACAGUACAUCGCAAAUGGAGUUCAUACUGAGCUGUGGACAAGUUCCGGAACGGUCUGGGGGACACAGCGUGUGGGGCCUUACCUCUCUAGAGCUUAAUAUUAGCCCUCGAACGGUCGAAACUUAUUAAGGGUCAUUAGUACUAAUGGUUCGAUGGAAAAAACGAAACAAUGUGCAGUCAUAGGUGAUAGAACAUGAGAGUGGACGGCUGCAGGAUACUUUUCUCUAGUUGACAGUACUCGUUUGUAACUAGUUGCGUCAAGGAGUGCUUGUGUCUCAUCAUUUCAGUUUUCCCUUUCGCUUCGCUGCGAAAAAAAUGGAGUUCAUGGUAAGCGAGAAAGGUAAAGAUUUGAUAGUUCUCGAUGGAUUCAAAUUCAGAUUCAAAGCUUUACUGAAAAGUGGCAUUCAGUCCUGGAUAUGUUCAAAUAAAAAUUGUAGUGCAUGCCUGAAGCUUGACCUUUCGAAACAAGUAGUUGAAAGUAAAACGAAUCACAAUCAUAUGGCGGACAGCUUGAAACUUCUCAAUCGGCAAAAAAUUAGCAAUGUCGCGAAAAGAAAAGCAGUAGAAGAGGAAUAUUUAAAUUUGAAACCUUCCAACAUUUGGAAACGCGAAUUCCUUGAAAAUAAUGUUGAGACGGUGACCGCUGGCGAUGUUCAGCGUUUUCGAAAAAACAUCGGUCGGGCUCGAAGACAACUUUUGAAAAAAUUGCCAGAAACUGCGAUUGAAAUGGAGGAUGAUGUUGAUUCAGUGAAAGUAGAAACUAAUAAAGAAUAAAUACCAGGUAGUUCUGAACAUUCAGCAAUUUACGUCCGAGAAGAUAUCUGUAAAAGUCGUAGACAAAUUUGUCCUGGUCGAAGGCUAAGUUAGAGAAAAAAAA